rnacentral:rRNA from 1 species
GACGAACGCUGGCGGCGUGCCUAACACAUGCAAGUCGAACGGAAAGGCCCUGCUUUUGUGGGGUGCUCGAUUGGCGAACGGGUGAGUAACACGUGAGUAACCUGCCCUUGUCUUUCGGGUAACUUCAGGAAACUGGGGCUAAUAUCAGAUAGGAGCUCCUGCUGCAUGGUGGGGGUUGGAAAGUUUCGGCGGUUGGGGCUGGACGCGCGGCUUAUCAGCUUGUUGGUGGGGUAGUGGCUUACCAAGGCUUUGACGGGUAGCCGGCCUGAGAGGGUGACCGGGCACAUUGGGACUGAGGUAGGCAGCAGAGGGGUACGGGGGGCAGCGGUGGGGAACCUUGCACAAUGGGCGGAAGCCUGAUACAACGGCCUCGGGUGCGGGAUGCCGGCCUUCGGGGUAUAAACAGCUUUAGCCUGUGACGAAGCGUGAGUGACGGUAAUGAAUAAAGAAGCACCGGCUAACUACGUG